CUCCAGUUCGGCAGUCAGAGAUUGCAAAUUCUUAAGAGAUGCUUCGGCUAAACUCGCGCAAUUAUUGCAAUUGUAAUGUUGCUCGAGUUCUAGAGAACCGAAGUUGUUCUAAGUGCACCUCUACUGAGGGUUCUAGGACUUCGACUCGGUCACUUUUACCCUGAUCGUGGAGGAAGCAGGAGUGGUCGAAGGACCGUUUUGGAAUCGUUUUUAGGAAAGCUCGCGGCUAGGUAGAGUUAGGAGUAGGGUAGUGGCGGAACCGUUUGAAACCCUGAUACUCCAGGUGGCGACCGGCAUCAUCCGUAGCAGAGCGACCACUCCAACCGACAACCCAGCGCUUCUGGACUCCAUCAAGGGGUCAAAGUUCCGGGUGAACCCCAAGCAGCUCGUCCGUCAACAUACGAGCUGGGCGGCGUCCGUCAACACACGCCGCGGUCGAACCCUCGACAACCAACCGACCGGACCGGGACGGCCUCGUGGAGGCCUAGGUCCACCGCCAAGUUCCCGCGCGCACCCGCGCCGUCGUCGCAACCGACGCUAUCAUCGCAGCAUCCUAGCUGCACACCUGUGCGCCCCCGCACACCGGAAGUGAUGCUGAGCACCCGCCGAUAGUGCCAACCCGUCUGCUGUUAGCCGCCGGCGGAACCAUCUCGCCGUAGCCGAAGCUGUAAGCGCGCCACCACCUGAUCGCCGGAUCGCCAACCAACACACGUAAAUCCAUGGUCGUGUAAGUACAAACCCUUUUUCGACAUGCGCAUGAUCGAUCGUUGGCCAGUUCUUUUUCAGCCAACCCUGUGG